GACCCCAGAUAUAAUGUUUCCUGAAUAAUGGUAGUGUUAUUUCCUAGAACUCAUGAAAAUGAAUCAUGAGGUUUCAUGAAACAUUUCGUCUCUUAAAUGCUCCGCAUUGUUGAGGCAAAUGAAAAUGAUCUAGAAAAGUACAUCAGGGUUCUAUUCGCCUUCUUCACAGGGAAGAAGCAACAUUUAGCCGAGAUUGUAUCUUCUCUCUUUAGCUCUGAACCUCAGACUUAGAGAUAACCAGGCCAUGGUUGACAUCUUCCUAAAAGGAUGUUCUGUUCCCUUGGUCAGCAGGCUAGUUUUAACUUGAUAUGGGGACAGUAAAGCUCAUUCAUUUCAAUGUUGCCUUGAGUAUUCACUGGGGUGUGUGUGUGUGUGUGUGUGUGUGUGUGUCCUUGUGUGUGCGUGUGUAUACAUAUGUUAUAUACUGUAUAACAUAACUAACAUUCUUGAUUAUUCAGGGUUCUCCAGAGAAACAAAACCAAUAGGAUAUGUGUAUAUAUAGAGUUGUAUUUCAAGGGACUGGCUUGUGAGAUUGUGGAGGCUUGGCAAGUCCUAAAUCUGAUAGAGCAGGCUGGCAGCCUGAUGAUUCAGGCAAGAGUUGCAGUUUGAGUAUGAAGGCAGUCUGCUGAGAGAAUUCCUUCUUGCUUUGGGGAAGUUCAGUCCUUGUUUUUUUAAGGCCUUCAACUGAUUAGAUGAGGCCCACCUGCAUUAUGGAGGACAAUAUGCUUUACUCAAAGUCCACCGAUUUAAAGAUUAAUUUCCUCCGAAAAACACCUUCACAGAAGUAUCCAGAAUAAUGUUUGACCAAUUAGCUGGGCACUGUGCCCCAGCUAAGACACAAUUAACCUUUGUAUUAAUAGAAAGACUAUGUUCAGGAUGCUGUUUACAGGAAGAAAUGCUAUUUAUCCACUUCAUAUACCUCUUCCUAUUCUUGGCCCUACACAGGGUCUGAACAUUUCAGAAGGCAAACGCUUCAGCAUUUCCUGGAGUUUUGAAGAAUCAUUAUUAGCUCGUGUCUUUAGAAACUCUUUCUUAAAAAGCUAACAUAAUGGGAAUGGAAGGAGGUGAUGUGGUCCUGCCACUGACUUCCAACUUCUUUGAACCCUGUUUCUCCCUUAUACUAUGUUUCCUGUCAUUUUAGCCACGGGGUACUAUUCAAAAUUCAGGAAAAUCAUGACAUUUUAGCAUCAUGAAUGGAGAACUAUUCUACAUGCCUCAUUUUUUUUACUUCUGAAUUUGUAAAGCCAUAUUCUCUGUAAUUCAUUUGACUAACUUUUCAUUGAGUAUUCCAGGUGGUAUGUGCAGCAAACCAUCAUGCACACUGCAACCUGAUUAAUUUUCCUAAAUUGAAGCUCUGCUGGCACCAUCUGCCUGUAGGUAUCCCUCAUUACCUACUAAAUUAGAUCUAAGGUCCUUUCCCUGGACUCCCAGACUCUCCAUAAUAUUCAGAUCCAUGACCCAACUGAGCUGUUUUCCAAAUAUGUCCUGCCCUUUGCCUACUUUUGACUCUGUGCACUGCACACUCUCUGCCUUGGAAUGUUCUCUCAUGCUCUUGCUGUUUUAAAUGGUCUUCAUUUUAAAUGCCUCCUUGUAUGUACUACCAAGAAAAUGUCAUUUCUCUCUUCAUAAACACCCACAGCCUUCUUGUCUUUUCAAUUUCUCCCUGUACAAUAGUCAUUUGUGAGCUUUUCUCACUCCCUCUGUUAAUACUGUCAGGUUCUCUAAGGCAGGAACUGUGUUUUAACCAUUCAUUCAUUCACUGCACAUGUCAGAAGCAUAUAGCACUUCUUAGAGAGUAUCAGCAGGAGAUAGGGAGCCAAUUGCAUAGGUUUGGAUUUUGGUUAUGCCUAAGUUAACCAUAAAUAUAUUUUCCAAAUGGGACACUUUGUAUAAAACAAAGCUAUCAAGAAUGACACCAGAAUAAGAGGCACAAGUCAGGACUGUCCCAAUCACACCAAGACAUGGCAAAUUAAUCUAGGCUUAGUUUCCUCAACUGUGAAAACAGUAAUAUUUUUAUCAUACAGUUACGUGAGCAUUAAUUGAAUAAAUAUGUGUAAAGCCCUUAGGGCAGGUUCUGCUCCUAUGAGUAUAAUGAUGUUGAUGGUAAUGAUUGACACAAUUGUCUGCUGAGCCUCAUCUUUUUCAACCAGAUAAAAACAUGGGUCUCAGGAUUGAGGACCUAGAUAUCUCCAGGAGGCACAAUCCAGCCUCCCACAGUGAGCAAGUCAGGAAGUGAAAAAUCCAGUUGAUGUCUAGGAACCAUAUUGCACUACAGGCUUUUAAAGGUUUCAUUUUGCUUUUUCUGCAGCUGAUUUGUGUGUGUGUGUGUGUGUGUGUGUGUGUGUGUGUGUAUGACAUUCAUGCUUACUCAAUCUCAGCUCAGGAACUAAGUGACAUGUAUCAUUAAAUAUUAAUCAUCAUAUUCUAAUUUGCCUGGACUCAGGUAUUCUCUCUGCCUAUGAUUCUGCCACAGGAAAUAGAGCAAGUGGUAUUCUAGCCUAAGCAUCUAUGGUCCCCCAUCACUACCCAUUCUAUUUUUGUUGCACACUUCAGCUCUCUGAGCAACAGCUAUUCAUCAAGAAAGAGAGGUGGUUCAUAGCAGAUGUUUCCAAGAUUUGAAACUUGUCCCUGCUAAUCACCUGUUGGAUGAUAUUUAUCAAGUUACCAAUCUCUGACUUUCGGUAUGACCAACUCUAUGAUAAUACUACCUAUUUCUCAGAGCUGUUAUAACACUUAAAAAAUACACAUAAAACAACGAUCAUAUAGUUAUCAAUCAAUCAGUAAUGACUUUGUCAUUAUAGUGUGAUAUCUUUCUGACUUGGUAUAGAUGGUUAUCAUAGUAAAGUUGCCUUUUCAGAAGUUUCACAUCCAAGAGAUUACUAAUGUCAUUUAUUUCAGUUCCACCUACUCUUAUAAAGCAUCUACAAUAUGCUACAUCCUGGGCACUAUAAGAGAUGCAAUACUGAACAGAACCAACCCUUAUUGACAAUAAGCUCACAGCCUGGUGAGGAAAGCGAGUAUAUCAAACAGGUGAUGACAAUACAUGGUGAGUAGGGUUAUAAAAUUUGAAUGUAGUAUUUGAUAUUAAGGAGUGAUUAAUUUUGUGACAUGUGUCAGCAUGAUGAUUAGAUCAAAAUCUUUGUUUAUUAAAGAUAAAUGCAGUAUCAGUUUCCUAUUGCUGCUGUAACAAAUUACCACAAAUUUAGUGACUUGAAACAAUGUAUUUGUUCUCUUAAAAAAUAAAUUUGUUUUCUUAAAGUUCUGGAGGUCCAAAGUCUGAACCAAGUCUACCUAGGCUAAAAUCAAGAAUUUAGCAUGGCUGGAUCCUUCUGGAAGCUCCAGAGGAAAAUCCAUUCUUUGCCUCAACUUCAAGAGGAUGCCCACAUUUGGCUGUGACCGUAUCACUCCUGUCUCCAUUUUUGUUGUCACAUUGCCUUCUCUGACUUUGGCUCUCCUUCCCCCACUUUUAAGGAUCCUUGUAAUUACAUUGGGCUGACCUGCAGAGUUGAGGAUAAUCUCUCCCUCUGAAGAUUUUUAAUUUAAUAACAUCUGCAAAGUCCCGUAUGCCAUGUAAAUUCUCAUAGUCACAGGUACUACGACCCAGAGAAAGAAGGGAUGGGGAGAAUAGGAAAGCUGAAAUGCUUAUUAGAUUUCAUGGUUUCCAGAGGUGUAAUCACCUUAGGGUUUCUCUAGAACAAUCCAUAUUUCGUGGGACAAAUUCGAGGCCCAGAAAAAUCCCACAUGGCAGCAACUUAUCCUGACUUCUAAUAAACAAAUUGUGCUCACAAGGGUUUGUGUUAAAACACGGUGGGGGGAAGUCAUACAUGCUCAGGGAGAUUUUGUUUCUAAAGGAACAGCAUGAUAGCAAAUAAGACUUGGGAUUUUUCUAGGGAUGCAGCAAUCUCACCAUUAAUUUUAAAUUGUCUAAGAACGCGGAUCACAUCACCCUUCAUUGUAGGUAAGGCUCUGAAUGGCCACAGGGGGGCGCCCCUCACCAUUGUUGGGUUCCUUCUCCCUCAGGUCCAUCUGUUCAUUUCCUGCCUUUUCCCAGGCUUGCUGAGAUUUCUCAGAUUAGGUGAGGGUACAUGUUUUGUCAUUUCGCAACGAAAAUGAAGAGGUUUUCUUGUCUAAAGAGAUCAAAAUUUUGAUUUUAUUGUAAAAAAUGGAAAGUGUCCCCACAAUAUUUUCUUUAAACACCGUGGAAGCAAUGCAAAAGCAUAAAAAGGAAAGUGUCCCUCAAGAUUCCCUUCUCAUGGAUGCCGCUGUAAUUAUGCACAUUGCCAGCAGGUGGCACUGCAUCAUUAACAGUUUACUGAACCGUUAGCACAAGGUGGGUUGUUCAAUUUUCAGAGAUCUGAACAAAUGUUUACGAAUUUCUUACUGUGUGCAAGGUUCUUCUUCAGACUCUGGGGUUGCACUGGUAAAUAAACAGACACUAACUCGGCUCUGGUGGAGAACAUUCCCAGUGUAGUAACAUGUCCGAGCAAGAAGAGGGACUUGUCUUUUAAAAUUUCAUCUCCCCCUUUCUCAACUCCUUGAAAGUCAUAUCUAAGGGAAAAUGUUACAGUGAAAAGAAAAAAAGACAACUAUAAUCUUUUCAUACAAAAGGAUACUUAAGGAAGGCAAAAUCAUUUGCCUAAACACACAACUGGCAAUAGUUAGAUGCAAGUCAGCUGACCCAACAUUUUCUCUAACAUUUCACUGCAGUGAUUCUCUGAGUGACAAGUUCAGGGCUGAAGUGAACAAGUGACAAGUGACAAGUUCUAGUCUUGCCACAGUCGUGGAUUCUUAACCAAACCACUCCAUCUCUCUGGGCUUUAGUUUACUUUUCUGUUAAAAAAAUGAAGGCAUUGGAUUAGGUAAGUCAGUUUAAACAUUUUUACCAAAAGAAUCUAUUUUUUAAAAAAUAUUAUCCAAGAGUUCAAUACAUAAAGGAAAGUGCUUGAGUUGAAAGAGAUUUGUUCCUCUUGAGCUUCCAUCAUUCUCCCCUGGACUCUUCAGUCUCUCAGAGCAGAGUUCGAAAAAUACCGCCCUUGAGAGAUCUUGCAAAGACCUUCCAUCUCGAAUUAUCCAUCGCUCCCCAAAUGCACUGAAUCUGGUGUGGGAGAGUAAUCAUCUCAAAGAGUGCUUGCUGCUGGGUAAAACCAGAGCAAACUAAACCCUAGAUCCUGAAGGUGAUGACAGGUGCAAUCAGUGACGAAGAACAAAGAAAAAGUGACACUUACAGCAUUUUAAAUAUUUGCAACUCAAUUUCUUCUGAAUGACGACACUAUCUUCAUGCUGGACCGUCCUCUCUCACACACUCAGCCAGGUUUCAGUGGAGAAUGUCCCCUGGCACCCGCUCUCGGAGGUGAGGAGUUUGCCCAUGGAGCACACUGGCUGCCCUGCAUUUAGGCAUCAAACACACAGGCUUUUGGCUGUGACAAGUGCCCAGAGCCAAAGGUGGUGUGGCUUACUGCUGAAUCACAGGGCAUGGAGCCAAAGGUUCUGGAAACCACGCAAACACACAUCACAGGCAGUGAUGGGAAGGGCAAUUUAAGGUCAAAGGACUAGGGGAGGCUGACCACCGCAGACCUGAGAACUAGUCUCCCUGCGUUUACCUCCCAGCCUCAUCACUCCAGACAAGUUACUCUGGUUCCUAAAUGGUAAUUUUGGAUAAUAACAGUAACUAUUUCCUAGGAAGGAUAGGUAACAACGGUAUGUAAAUACCAGGUAAAAGUUGCAGUGGUCUCUCCCAGGAGUCCUGCCAACACCCCCGGGGGGGGGGGUUCCUCACUCUUGUCACCUCGUACUCCUCCACACAGCAGCCUGAGUGACCUUUAAGUUGUCUGUUAGGUCAUAUCACGCCAAUCUUAAAGCCCUUCAGUGACUCUCCCUUGCACUUGAGAGAACCACUCAAUUCCUCACGCUGACCUGAAAUGCCUGCAUGGCCUUGCUCGUCCACCCUCCAACCUGAAUCUGCCGUUUGCUGACCACACUCCAACCACACUGGCCUCCUGACGGUUCCUGGAACAGCCCGGGCCUUUGCCAUGCUUGGGAAUGCUCAUGCUUGCUGCUUCUUUUCCCAGAACACACUGGCACUUCCUAACGUCUCAGCUAAAAUCUUUCUCCUCAGAGAGGUCUUCUCUGACCACUCUGUCUAAAGUGUCCAGAAUAGAGUGUGCUUUAUUCCAUCGCACAGGGAUUGGAAAAUUUUGACCCUGGGACCAAACCAGCCCACUAUCCACUUUUUUUUUUUUUUUAAAGUACUGCACCUGCGGCAUAUGGAAGUUCUCAGGCUAGGGGUCGAAGCGGAGCUGCAGUUGCUGGCCUACACCACAGCCAUAGCAACAUGGGAUUUGAGCUGCGUCUGUGACCUACAGCACAGCUCAUGGCAACGCUGGAUCCUUAACCCACAGAGCAAGGCCAGGGCUCAAACCCAUGUCCUCAUGGAUAAUAGUCAGGUUCAUCAUUGCUGAGCCAUGUUGGGAACACCCACUUUUUUUUAAUAUAAAGUUUUAUUGGAACAUAGCUAGACAUUCAUUUAUUUACCAUCUCUGGCUACUUUGGUGCUCUAAUGGCCAAGUCGAAUAGUUGCAAAGUCUAAAACUACUAAACUAUCUUACAUUUACAAAUAAAGGUUAAUGACCC
rnacentral:lncRNA from 1 species